rnacentral:rRNA from 1 species
AUGGAGACGAGGAAGGAAAUCCUGGAGCUUCGCGAGCGUCUGGACAAGACCCUGGCGUGCUCUGAUCUCGCCGACGAGGGCUCUUUGAGAUCUCUGGUCAAGAACCAGAUUUUGGAGUCCUCUCUGCCUGGCUCUGACCAAGGCAACAUCGAUUUGAUUGCUGAAGCACGAGCCAAAGAAGUCUCGAAUUUUCUUGAAAUGCUAGACACUUCAGGAAAUGAACGGCCUUCAGAUAUUCGUGGGCCACAACAGAAGGAGUGGAAGGUGAAGCAGGAUACAGACCAAUUACGGGUCAUGUACCGCGAAGGUCCAGAUGGGACCCCAUUUCAUACUCUUCUUGCUGAAGGCUUUGCUGAUGGUCCUAUCGAUGUUUGUACAUGCGUGUCAUGGGAAUCAGGUCUAUACAGAAAAUGGUUUCCGCAGUACAAUCUGCCAACAUUUAAAAUCGCUCAGUCAGGUUGCUUGAAAAAGAUUCGGAUUGGUGAAGAAAUUUCUUUGAUCAGGGUGAAGGUCCCCUGGCCAGUUUCAGAGAGAGAAGCUCUUCUACACUACUUUCAGUUUGAGUAUCUUAAAGAAGACCUUGUCAUUGUGAUCAUGAAAACUAUAUCCAAUUUGGAUAAUCUCAGUAUGCAGACACAUGGAUUUACUAUAGAUGGAAUCCCUGAAGCUGGUGACACGAUUCGGAUGGAUGUAGUUGGAGGCUUUGUCUUACAGAGGAUUACCAAGGAAAGAAGUUUUUUCAGGGCAGUAGCUAAUAUGGACAUUAAGCUAGACUUUGUUCCCCCAUGGCUGAUCAACUUUAUGUCCAGACAGCUAAUCGGCAGUGGGCAUAAGCUAUACCAGAAGGCUGUUAGUACUGUGGCCGCUUGUGAUGAAGACUACAAGCAAGCUUUACGAGCACCGCUCUAUGCAAGAAUACGCGAGUACCAGCAUUCUGCUGACAAGGCAAAGGUGACUGCAGUUGAGGAAAGCGCUAAUGAAGUGCUCCCUGAGAAUCCCACUGUACAUAAUCCUCUGGCAGUCACUACUAAUCUCACACCAUGCAGUGAGAUUAUCGAAGAAGAGAGUGAACAGAACACAUCUUUUAAGCUGGAUAAUCUUGCAACCGGCUUUUCUAACCAACCAGCCGGGCAAGUGCAGCAAGUUGAAAAUAAGUCUUUCACUAGUCCUGAUAGAACAGUCAAGCAAGCACAGCAAGUCGAAAAUAAACCGAUGAUUAGUCCUGAGGUGCAGAAGGCUUUGGGCAUACUGGACACUGCCAUUGCAGUUCUUCAAGGCAACAGAUCUGCAAACAUCAGUGCUCUCAGAAAGCUCCUCAGUUAUGAUGCAACGUCGGAAGAAGGAAGUGCCAUCAGUACAAGAAAUUCACAUACCCUCGACGUUCUCGAUACAGACAAUCUCCCAAAUGGGUAUCCUCUUGCCACAUCACCUCAUGAUUCAAGAGAGAUCCGGCAAACUUAUUUAAUGCCCGACAAGGAGGUGCGCGACAGGGAGGAAGGUGCUAGCGAAAGUGAUUCUCCUAAAACCAUGACCGCUUCUACCAUAACGACGACAAAAUCCAUGACAUUGAGGAGCACAAUAAAGGUGCAUGAAGAAGAGACCCUGAAUAGCGAUGGCCUCUAUCAGAACAGUUUCCACAAUGGAAAAGAGCCCAAGAGACCAAAGAAGACCAAAAGGUGGCUUUGCUGCUUAACGCCUAGCACCGUAGGAUGA